GCCUGGAUACCUCAGUCGGUAGAGAAUCAGACUGCUAAUUUUAAGGGUCCAGGGUUCAAGUGUGUGUGCAUGUG
rnacentral:tRNA from 1 species